rnacentral:lncRNA from 1 species
UGGGUACCAUUACUAGAUGGUCACUUCGAUUGGUACAAAAAUUUAUUUCUAUACUAUCAAUUUAAGUUUAGACCUAUGAGAUCACACAUAUUAGAGUUCACAAUCCAAUCGAAUGGUUGAUCAACGAUUGAGAAUUGUUCUAGGGUUAAACGAUCAAUACGAUUGACAUUUAACCUAGUGCAAGUGUUAUAGGAGGAUCGAUUAGUAAUUC